rnacentral:pre_miRNA from 1 species
CUGGUCAUGUGUGUAUUGGCUUGAUGUCGCUUGUCAUGUGUCAAGCCAAUACACACAUGACAAGCGACAUCAAGCCAAUACACACAC